rnacentral:rRNA from 1 species
UACAGAGGGUGCGAGCGUUAAUCGGAAUUACUGGGCGUAAAGCGCACGUAGUCGGCUUUGCAAGUCGGUUGUGAAAUCCCCGGGCUCAACCUGGGAACUGCAUCCGAGACUGCAUUGCUAGAGUAUGGGAGAGGGAAGCGGAAUUUCUGGUGUAGCAGUGAAAUGCGUAGAUAUCAGAAGGAAACAUCAGUGGCGAAGGCGGCUUCCUGGACCAAUACUGACG